rnacentral:lncRNA from 1 species
GCAAGACCCUAUCUCUAAUCACUUAAAAAAUUAUUUAAAGUUCAUAUAACUUUUAAAUGGUAGAAUCGAUACUCAAGCCCAUUUCUCUCAAACUCUAAAACUUGGACUCUUGAGCUCUUGUGUUUGACCACAGCAAGUUGAUUCCUUCUCAUUUUCUAGGUGAACUGGAAGCUCUCUACCCUCCAAGCGGAUCUCUGGCAAGAGCCGGCCUACAGAGGGAACGUAGAAUAAUGAGGAGAGACACCUAAGCAAGGCAGGAUGUGUGCACCAGCAGGAAACACAGCUGGAAGUUUAACAAGCAGAGGGGACGCUCCACCCAUGGCCUCUAUCUGAACUACGCCGAAAAGCUCCAGAAAACCAAACAAAACAAAACAUCCACUCUUGGCUGGUGAAUUUGAAAUACCAAAAUUCU